UACACUCUAAAAACGGCUGGGUUAUUUUUUAACCCAAAAUGCUGGGCUGAGUCUGUUGGGUCAUUUUGUUGGGUUAUUUUAUUAUUUUUUAAACACUUUUGGGUAGUUUCAAUUUACCAGGUGUUGAGUUAAACCUGCUGGGUUGCAACGCUGGGUUGUUUCAGGCCAGCGCUGGGUUAUUUAACGCGCCUUGAAGAUGUUUAAAUCGCUCCCCAACUGUCAUUUUGGAAGGACAACGGGGCAAAGCCACUGGUUUCAACUGUUUUAAGGUAAGUUUAUUUAAUGUUUUCGUUAAUAAUUAUUUUAAAUUGGCAGAAUUAUAACUUUUUUUGCGGCAACAAUACUGUUAAACUUCUACAGGCCAACAUUAUGUUAAAUGACGAACAGUUUACCUCAAACGGCCAUUCUACGUGUACUCGCAUAAUCGUGUUAAAGUUUCUGAGACGACAGAUUAAUACAGUUUUAUUAAGUAUCAGACAGUGACGUAAAGCUGAAAUAUGUGAAUAUCUGUGAAAACAGAGGAAAGAGUCGUUUCUGACACUGAAAAGCGAAUUUAAAAUUUAAGUGAGUCAAAUGAGUUAAAAUAAGUGAAUAUAACUUUCUGAUCUCAUACAAAUGCCUGCAGUUGUCCAUAUCGACAUGUAAAUCAUACAAAUUACGUACAAUGUCGCUGGACCGCAGGUCUAAAAGAACCGACGAUCCGGUUCAAAUAAACCGGUUCUUCAAUUCUCGGACAAAGUGAUUCCCGGGAAAGAAUCGACGUCUCAGGGCCUCGAUACAUUUCAAAGUGCGCGCACGCACAGCGAGUGACGUAGCCGCGUUAGUGAGGUGAUUUUUGAUGCUUGUGUGGUUUAAAGUCUUUUUACAUACGUAAAUAAAGGUUUUUGGUAAGUCAUAAUUCAACAUGUUGUUUUUUCUUGUCAGAAGAGAACAUGGAUACAUUUGUGAGAGAAAAACUCGUUGAGUGCAGUCUUAUCGAGAAGUCUAACGGUUGGAACAAACAUGGAAUUCCUUAACCGAGCAGAGUCCACAAAACCCCAUCCAUUUGUCAUGACGAUUUGAAAAUGCCAGCAGAUCUAUCAGACAUUGAUCAUAAUCAGUGGACAGGUCACCGUAGCCACCCGGAUUCAGUCUGUAUUCAGAUCAGAUGGUGGAUCAGCACCUAGAGA